ACGGGGCGCAGCAGGCGCGAAACCUUUACACUGCACGCCAGUGCGAUAAGGGGAUCCCGAGUGCACAGGCAUAGAGCCUGUGCUUUUCUGAACCGUAGGGAGGUUCAGGAACAAGAGCUGGGCAAGACCGGUGCCAGCCGCCGCGGUAAUACCGGCAGCUCGAGUGAUGGCCGAUCUUAUUGGGCCUAAAGCGUCCGUAGCUGGCCUUGCAAGUCCGUCGGGAAAUCCACCCGCUCAACGGGUGGGCGUCCGGCGGAAACUGUGAGGCUUGGGACCGGGAGGCUUGAAGGGUACGCCCGGGGUAGGAGUGAAAUCCUGUAAUCCUGGACGGACCGCCGAUGGGGAAACCACUUCAAGAGAACGGAUCCGACAGUGAGGGACGAAAGCUAGGGUCUCGAACCGGAUUAGAUACCCCUGUAGUCC
rnacentral:rRNA from 1 species